AAGGAUUUAAGUUAAUAAAAACUAUUAACCUUCAAAGUUGAAAAUAGAAAUAAUUUCUAAGCCUUA
rnacentral:tRNA from 1 species